rnacentral:rRNA from 1 species
GCUGGCCAUCCCAUCCUGAGUGUACCAGAUCCUGUCUGAUCUCAGAAGCUAAGCAGGCUUGGGCUUGGUUAGUACUUGGAUGGGAGACUUGCCAGCCUGAACCGGCU